rnacentral:misc_RNA from 1 species
UUUAAAUUGGACUUACUAUAAUUUUACAUAACGUGAUAUUUGUACAUUAAUAAGGUAUAUAUAUCCGAUUCUAAGAUAAGAUUUACAUAGAUAACAUUGGAAUACAAAAACUUCUAGAUUUGCUUAAUGACCAACUUAUUAACUAAUUACACAUAAGUGGUUUCCAUGAGGUAGAUUAAUAUCUUCAAGGAGCAAAUCUCUUUAAAACCCUAACCCUCAAACCUCUUUUCGUAUAAAGUAAUAUAGAAACAUUUGGACUAACAGAAUGGUUUUCAACCACUUGAAGAGAAUAAUUCCAUAUAACAGAAGCAGCAAUCGCUUUCAUUUGUAGGAAUGCCAACUCCUUACCUAUGCAACUCCUGGGUCCUGCAUUGAAUGCUACGAACUUGUAAGACGGCACAUGUUUGAUUCUUCCUCCCUCUGAAAUCCACCUCUCUGGUUUGAAUUCCAAGCAAUCUUUACCCCAUAUUUCUUCCAUCCUGCCCAUUGCGUAGAAAGAGAACAGAAUCCUCAUAUUUCUAGGAACAUUAUGUCCACUUGGAAAAAUAUCUUCUUCAAUUGCCACUUUGUGUUCGAAAGGUACUGGUGGAUACAGCCUCAAAACUUCACAUAUAACUGCAUGGAGAUAAACUAGUUUCCUUCCCUCUUCAAUACUGAAAACCCUCCAUUUUUCACUUGUUUUUGCACCUAAAUUUGCUUUGAUCUCUUCCAAAAUCUUUUGCUCUACAAAUGGGUGAGUUCCGACAAGCCAGAAGAGCCAGACAAGACCAGCACCUAUGGUGUCUCUCCCAGCUACCAAGAGAUUAAAUGCCAUGUCUCUUAGAAACUUGUUUGAUUUAGUCAGAAUGCCACUUUCUGCUGCUACUUUUGCAAAAUCAUUAUCUUCUGCCAGAAAGUAUGUUAACAAGUCGAAAGCCUCUCCUUCCAUUUGAUCUUUGCGGCUUUGGCCUACUUGCUCUCGCUUUCUUAUAAUACAUUGCUCCAAAAAAUCAUCAAAAAUCUUCCAAGAUUUCUUUUACUUCUUCUCAUUCCCAAUCUGAAGCCAUCUUUGCAACUUCCAAAUGCUUGCAGGCAAUGCAUGCCGGUAAAUGAUGAUCUCCUCUAUAUCAUCAAAAGCUUUCUGAUAAGCAAUUUGAGGGAAUUCAAUAGAAAGGGAAUUUGGGUCAAAGCCUAAAACCAACCGGCAGAUAUUAUCAAACGUGAAUCGCUGAAACACAUCUUGCAUGUCUACUUGUGAAACAUUUUCUAGAAGUGGAAAUAAGCCAUUUAAGAUCUUUUGCUUCAAAGUGAUCUCUACAGCCAAAUCGAACCUCUUGUUCUUGACUAAUAAAGAGUGAAAUAUUCUCCUCUGAAUACUCCAGCUAUCAGAAUCAGAAUUGAAAAUUCCAUCUCCCAGAGGUUCAAAAAUCUCUCUGAACUCAGGGCCCUUGGGAUAGUUGGGGAAGUUCUUGCUCAGAACAUAAUGGACGUUCAUGGAAUCACUAAUCGCCAAAAAAUUCAUGCCACUUAACCAAGGUCCUUUGAACAGAAAAGUGCCUUUAUUUUGUUGAAGAAUAAAAGUGGCAAAAUCAUGGAUAUGAGACAAGUUGCAAAGAAGAGCAGGAAUCAUCCCGAAAACAGGCCAAUCGAUGACUACAUAGCUACUUCUUCUAUUCCACCUCGAAAGCCAUAGAAGAAGAAGAAUAAAAACAAUGGAGAGAAAUGCUGCUAUUAUCAGUGUAGACCCGAACAUGUUCAUUCAAGCUAUGUUGAGUAUCUUUUUUGUUUUUGGAUAAGCAACUCUGCUAUGUUGCUUUGCUUUGAAAUAGCCUAAGCCAAGCUAUAGAUAUUUAUAGAUCAAGUGAUGACUAUUUUGGGAUUUAAG